rnacentral:rRNA from 1 species
CCUACGGGUGGCAGCAGUGAGGAAUAUUGGUCAAUGGACGAGAGUCUGAACCAGCCAAGUAGCGUGAAGGAUGACUGCCCUAUGGGUUGUAAACUUCUUUUAUAUGGGAAUAAAAUGUUCCACGUGUGGGAUUUUGUAUGUAUCAUAUGAAUAAGGAUCGGCUAACUCCGUGCCAGCAGCCGCGGUAAUACGGAGGAUCUGAGCGUUAUCCGGAUUUAUUGGGUUUAAAGGGAGCGUAGGUGGAUUGUUAAGUCAGUUGUGAAAGUUUGCGGCUCAACCGUAAAAUUGCAGUUGAAACUGGCAGUCUUGAGUACAGUAGAGGUGGGCGGAAUUCGUGGUGUAGCGGUGAAAUGCUUAGAGAUCACGAAGAACUCCGAUUGCGAAGGCAGUUCACUGGACUGCAACUGACACUGAGGCUCGAAAGUGUGGGUAUCAAACAGGAUUAGAUACCCCAGUAGUC